GUAAGGAAUUUUGGACAAUGGGCGCAAGCCUGAUCCAGCAAUGCCGCGUGCAGGAAGAAGGCCUUCGGGUUGUAAACUGCUUUUGUACGGAACGAAACGGUCCGGGUUAAUACCCUGGGCUAAUGACGGUACCGUAAGAAUAAGCACCGGCUAACUACGUGCCAGCAGCCGCGGUAAUACGUAGGGUGCAAGCGUUAAUCGGAAUUACUGGGCGUAAAGCGUGCGCAGGCGGUUUUGUAAGACAGGCGUGAAAUCCCCGGGCUCAACCUGGGAAUUGCGCUUGUGACUGCAAGGCUGGAGUGCGGCAGAGGGGGAUGGAAUUCCGCGUGUAGCAGUGAAAUGCGUAGAUAUGCGGAGGAACACCGAUGGCGAAGGCAAUCCCCUGGGCCUGCACUGACGCUCAUGCACGAAAGCGUGGGGAGCAAACAGGAUUAGAUACCCUUGUAGUCC
rnacentral:rRNA from 1 species